rnacentral:rRNA from 1 species
GAUGAACGCUAGCGGCAGGCUUAAUACAUGCAAGUCGAGGGGCAGCACAGAUAGCAAUAUCGGGUGGCGACCGGCAAACGGGUGCGGAACACGUACACAACCUUCCUUUUGGUGGGGGAUAGCCUUUGGAAACGGAGAUUAAUACCCCAUAAGAUAUUGCAAUCGCAUGGUUUUGAUAUUAAAGAUUUAUUGCCAGAAGAUGGGUGUGCGUAUGAUUAGGUAGUUGGUGAGGUAAAGGCUCACCAAGCCGACGAUCAUUAACUGGUGUGAGAGCACGACCAGGCAAACGGGCACGGGGACACGGGCCCGACUCCUAGUGGGGGCAGCAGUAAGGAAGAUUGGUCAAUGGACGGAAGUCUGAACCAGCCAUGCCGCGUGGAGGAUGAAGGUCCUCUGGAUUGUAAACUUCUUUUAUAUGGGGCGAAAAAGGGCCAUUCUUGGUCAACUGACGGUACCAUAUGAAUAAGCACCGGCUAACUCCGUGCCAGCCGCCGCCGUAAAAC